GGGGAAUAUUGGACAAUGGGCGCAAGCCUGAUCCAGCCAUGCCGCGUGAGUGAUGAAGGCCUUAGGGUUGUAAAGCUCUUUCGCCGGUGAAGAUAAUGACGAUAACCGGAGAAGAAGCCCCGACUAACUUCGUGCCAGCAGCCGCGGUAAUACGAAGGGGGCUAGCGUUGCCCGGAAUUACUGGGCGUAAAGCGCACGUAGGCGGUUUCUUAAGUCGGGGGUGAAAUCCUGGAGCUCAACUCCAGAACUGCCUUCGAUACUGGGAAACUUGAGUGCGGGGGAGGUGAUGGGAACUGCGGGUGUAGAGGUGAAAUUCGUAGAUAUUGGCAAGAACACCAGUGGCGAAGGCGGCUCACUGGCCCGAUACUGACGCUGAGGUGCGAAAGCGUGGG
rnacentral:rRNA from 1 species